rnacentral:rRNA from 1 species
AGCUGGGAUUAGAUACCCCACUAUGANGAGNUCAAAAAGAAAGUNGAAGCACUAAAGCCCAANGGCUAAANUUUAAAGAGCANGGCGGCGGGCAAAAUUNUUCANGGGAACUUACCCGAUAAUUGAUAACCCACAAGAAGCGCUUCGAAUCCUUUAUAGUUUGUAUACCGCCGUCUUAAGGUGUCAUCUAAGAUAGCACCUAAUCCUUUUAGGAGGAAAAGACAGGUCAUGGUGCAGCUAAUGGAUUCGAGCAGGGCGAGUUACAGUUAGAGCUACUAUCAAACGUUGAGACUAAGUGCCCAACCGAAGCUGGACUUGAAAGUAACAGGCAAGAAAAUACCCUUUGAAUUACUUCUUUGCUCGUGCACACACCGCCCGUCACCCUC